rnacentral:rRNA from 1 species
AUUGAACGCUGGCGGCAUGCUUUACACAUGCAAGUCGAACGGUAACAGGCCGCAAGGUGCUGACGAGUGGCGAACGGGUGAGUAAUGCAUCGGAACGUGCCCAGUCGUGGGGGAUAACUACUCGAAAGAGUAGCUAAUACCGCAUACGAUCUAUGGAUGAAAGCGGGGGACCGUAAGGCCUCGCGCGAUUGGAGCGGCCGAUGUCAGAUUAGGUAGUUGGUGGGGUAAAGGCUCACCAAGCCAACGAUCUGUAGCUGGUCUGAGAGGACGACCAGCCACACUGGGACUGAGACACGGCCCAGACUCCUACGGGAGGCAGCAGUGGAGAAUUUUGGACAAUGGGCGCAAGCCUGAUCCAGCAAUGCCGCGUGCAGGAAGAAGGCCUUCGGGUUGUAAACUGCUUUUGUACGGAACGAAACGGCUCUGGUUAAUACCCGGGGCUAAUGACGGUACCGUAAGAAUAAGCACCGGCUAACUACGUG